AGGGUUGACUUAUUUGUAAUAAUGUGAUAAAAUCCAUUUGUUGUAUAAUUAUAACUAUGGUAAUAAACGUCGUGAUAAAUAGGCGAUAUGGACCCGGGGGCAGAGCCCGGCACCUCCACCAAGGAUAGUUGUGCGCUGAUGGUCUGCGGUUUUGUAGAUUAGUGUUCUGAUUGGCGCUUUCUGGGGGUGAAUAGAUUCGACACACGUUGAAAAACUCGAUUUUUACCCGUGGUGGUUUACGUUACAGGACCGAUAAAUAUAAAUGCGAAUGAUAAUUCGUCUUUGGUUGCCGCUAACGACAAUGUAGCUGAAGUUUUGGCUGCUGCCGCUUAGCAUGUAACCGCGGUUUGGAGGGAGCCGGGCAACAGAAGUCCCUCCUU
rnacentral:tmRNA from 1 species